rnacentral:rRNA from 1 species
UACAGGGGGUGCAAACGUUGCUCGGAAUCAUUGGGCGUAAAGCGCACGUAGGCGGUCUGUUAUGUCGGAUGUGAAAGCCCUUGGCUCAACUGAGGAAGUGCAUCCGAAACUGGCAGGCUAGAGUACUAAAGAGGAUCGCGGAAUUCCCGGUGUAGAGGUGAAAUUCGUAGAUAUCAGGAGGAACACCGGUGGCGAAGGCGGGUCUCUGGGCCGAUACUGACGCUGAGGAGCGAAAAGCGUGGGGGAGCAAAACAGGAAUUAGAAA